rnacentral:rRNA from 1 species
UACCAGCACCCCGAGUGGUCGGGACGUUUAUUGGGCCUAAAGCAUCCGUAGCCGGUUCUACAGGUCUUCCGUUAAAUCCAGCUGCUUAACAGAUGGGCUGCGGAAGAUACUAUGGAGCUAGGAGGCGGGAGAGGCAAGCGGUACUCGAUGGGUAGGGGUAAAAUCCUUUGAUCCAUUGAAGACCACCAGUGGCGAAGGCGGCUUGCCAGAACGCGCUCGACGGUGAGGGAUGAAAGCUGGGGGAGCAAACCGG